UGGCGGCAGGCUUAACACAUGCAAGUCGAGCGGUAGCAGAUCUAGCUUGCUAGAUGCUGACGAGCGGCGGACGGGUGAGUAACGCGUAGGAACCUGCCCAGUAGUGGGGGAUAGCCCGGGGAAACUCGGAUUAAUACCGCAUACGCUCUACGGAGGAAAGAGGGGGCUUCGGCUCUCGCUAUUGGAUGGGCCUGCGUGAGAUUAGCUAGUUGGUGAGGUAAUGGCUCACCAAGGCGACGAUCUCUAGCUGGUCUGAGAGGAUGAUCAGCCACACUGGGACUGAGACACGGCCCAGACUCCUACGGGAGGCAGCAGUGGGGAAUAUUGCACAAUGGGCGCAAGCCUGAUGCAGCCAUGCCGCGUGUGUGAAGAAGGCUUUCGGGUUGUAAAGCACUUUCAGUGGGGAGGAAGGCCUCGUAGUUAAUAGCUACGAGGAUUGACGUUACCCACAGAAGAAGCACCGGCUAACUCCGUG
rnacentral:rRNA from 1 species